CAGCACAGAGCAUCAUCACCACAGCACAGAGCAUCACCACAGCACAGAGCAGAGCGUCACCACAGCACAGAGCAGAGCGUCACCACAGCACAGAGCAUCACCACCACAGCACAGAGCAUCACCACAACACAUAGUAUCGUAGUAUAGAGCAUAAUCUUUGGGACCUGCUUGCAGAAGACAGAGAGGAGGCCAUUAUUACUAAGAGCAUUAGUGAGGACUGGUAAGGUGCCUCUGUGAGUAAAAGCACUGGCUCACAAACCAAACCUGAUCUGACUUGCAAGAAAUCCCUGGGACCAAGAUGCUGGAGGAAAGACCCAAUUUCCCCAAAAAAGUUGUCUUUGGACCUCCACCCAUGCAUAUGCCUGAGAUGCCUCCACUUCACACCUCUAGGAUCCUACCACUUCACACCUCCAGGAUCCCACCACUUCACCCCUCCAGGAUCCUACCACUUCACACCUCCAGGAUUCCUCCACUUCACAUCUCCAAGAUCCCUCCACUUCAUACCUCCAGGAUCCCUCCACCUCAUACCUCCAGGAUCCCUCCACCUCACACCUCCAGGAUCCCUCCACCACACACUUCCCAGUCACUCUCAUGGACCCCUGCUGGCAGAAGAGUGUGUGGGGGGGGCCAUAAACAGGGGUGGGGCUGGAAGUGUAAGUAGGUAGGUACAUGUGCAUGUAUAUAUUGUAAAGGUGGCAUAAUAAGAACCAAGUGACCUCAAAUUUAUAUCCUAGAAACUUUAGAGAUCAACAAUGAAGAGAUUUUCAUAAAGGCCUAAGGGUAGACAUUGUUCCACAAAAAUCCACAAAAAUGACCAAUAUUUGUAGCUCUCUCCCUACAGUUGAUUAAGGUAAUAACUACAGCUGCCACUAGAGGGAACCCUUGUCCUAUGCUGCACACUCGGGUCACAGCCUGGACUCCAGAGGCAAGGUCUGCCUGGAACAGAGAACCAGAGGCCAGUGGCCACUCCAGUACAGUGUAAGCUCUGUGAGCCCUGUAACCUGACAACAAGUUUGGCAUAAGGCAUACAAAGCCACUGUUCAACCUUCCUUCCAUACAUUCUCAGGUUUGAAGAACAGAAGAUGAAGAUGUAUUUAUUAGUAAGAUAAUCUUAUUAAUAUUGGUCUCAUUACUCACCUAUAAGACGUAUGAGGCCCAGGCAGUGUCUAUCUAUGACCUUGCAUUAACUCCGACACUUUGGAAAGAUCUAGGUAGAUGGAAGUUAAUGACGCUGGGGAUUCCCACACUGUGUGCCAGAGCAAACUUACAGGAGCACAGUGCUAUUUUGCAUUACAUUAAAAAAAUUACUUUAUUAUUA